AUCUCUGACUUAGGAGAACAGAUGACUAUCUUGCUUUCCACACUUCAAAGGCCAAAUGAGAAGAUUUGCAAACUGCUUUGGGCUCUUGAGAGUCCAGGUCCUAAUAAAUGCCCAAGACUUAAACCACAUGCACAGGCAUCAGAGAAGCAAUGCAGCUAUAAAAGGAGGUGGCACGCUCAUCCUGACUUCUGGAAAACAUGCAAAAAAGAAAUGACUAAAUAAAAAAUCCACAGAGACCCUUGCAGGAGGGGGUGGGUGCUGCCCUGUUGAGAAACCUUUGUUUCUGAGGCCUGGCAGGUGUGAUGCAACCCCUCACACUGCUACGUACAUAUCUUCCUCUCUGCUCUCCCCAGCACCCACCCACGUCCAAGCCUUACAGAACAGUGCUGCCUACUGAUCCGGUGGUCUGAGCGGACCCCCUCCUACAAAGCAAACAGCACACAGGAGCAAAAUAUCUUUGCCAAACAGCCCCGCUCCCAUGCUGGCUGGCCGAGGGCCCCCGCCAGGCAUUGCAGGGCAGCAGGGCGAGUAUCGCCGAGCCCUCCUGGAGUUUCCCGGCUGCUGAAUCACCAACAGGCUCUACCAGGGCUGAGCUCCGAGGCCACAGGAAGCUGUGCGGAGGUGCUCGCGACCCCGUUGCAGCCGACUGACACUGACUUGAGGAGUAAAGGUGUCAGCGCCGAGGGCCACUUUCCCAGAGUCCCAGAGGAAAGGAGGGGCGGGAGAGUGGACCUGAGACGGGCCGGGAUCAAGUGGUAGAUGCAAGGACACCACCUGCAGGGCCUGGGCUCCUCGGCUGCCGGGAAUUGCAGAAAUCAAACACCAAGCCCCCUCCCGCUUCGUGGAGGCCCACUGGCCCCAUGCCAGCUCCCCCUGGCCUUGUGGUGUCCCCAUAAUUACCACCCUCCGGGCCCAGGGUCAGCAGUGGCUCUGCCUGUGUGGACCUCAGCCCAGCAGAGUUAGCCUCUUGGCAGCCCCAACAAAGCCAGGCCCAUCCCUCAGCUCUGUCAAGGCCCUAUGUACACAUCACUCACCGCUAGUGGCUUGGAAGUAGGCUACGAGCGGGGAGGUAAAAAAAAAUAAGCAAUCCUUGAACUCUGCCCCAUUUCCUCCAUGUGAAUAGCUGGGUGAUGACAAACUCAUCCCUUCCCUGGGACCCCUCUGUAGAAGGCAUGACGAGGCGUGGGGUUUGAGCCAAGAUAAAUACCAGUAUGACUUGGCCGAAUUUCAGAUCAAUGCAGCGUCAGCCUUGGGGGCUGGGGAAGGGUUGGACGGAGGGGACAGCGCCACGCCAAUGCUAAUCGCCACUGUCAGGCUUCCAUCAUGUUCUGUGUUCUCGGGGCUGACCACAGAACACCCCUUAGGAGAACUCACUUGACUGCGUGAGGACCACUGAGUGAGAAGCAGGGUUCAAAUGGAGAAAACAAAUCCUCAGAAGCCUAGAUUUUCAAGAGUUACGGGAAAACACCCUGAAGUUCCUGAAACCCCACAUCACACUGCAGGCUGGAAAAAUGUCUACGUUCUUCUCCUUUGGCCCUGGAAGUGAGGGCAGGAGGAGGAAGAGGGGAGAGUAGAUGAAAAAGGGUGUGGGUGAAAACAGCGGGUACCAGCUGCUGAGAAGGGCCCGGAUGAGGGGUGGGCAAGAGGCACUGAGAGUGACCCCUUUUAACUAGGAGACCCUGACCAAACCACCCCUAGCGCAGGGGUUCUCAUUGCUGGCAGGGCCUGCUGGGGGCAUAUGGUAACAGGGGGGGGUAGUUUUGAUUGUCACAAUGACGUGAGGGGCUCUCUUGGUAUUUAAUGGGUGAGAGCAGGGAGGCUAAACUGCUGCGAUGCACAGGGCUUUGUCCUGCCUAAGAUGCUCACAGUGCACCUUGUUGAGAAAGUCCAGACCCCAGCAGGGAAAGUCCCUUCAGCCACAGGUCAUUCAGCCUCCAAAGGCAUGCGGGCAGAAGCAGCCUAAACUCAGGGGAGAUGGAACAAGCCGGCAGUCACAGGAAUGGACAGGGCGGCUCAGGAGAGCAGGACUGUGGGGUCAGCCUGCCCUCAGGAAACUGGGAAGCUCCCUUCCCCAUUCAGAGAUUCCCUCCAUUCUCUGUUCAUCUGUCCGCCUCUCUAUAAUAACCUGAAGCAUCUGGGUUGCACAAUAGGAAGCCUACCUAUAAAGAAACAAGACCGGCAAGCCAUCAACAAACCUGCUCCCGGGGAUUCGUAGUCAUGGGCCUCCAAGCAGACCCCUGGGAGCCCGGAGAGGGAGGGAACUGCAGGAGGGGUGAGGCAGGCAACUGCCUCUUGGUGCGCUGAUUUUAGGGCCCCUGACGUAUUUCCCUUUGGCCAGUGUAUGUUCUUCUGGCCACAUAUGGCAAAGCUGUUCAGCGAAUGCCCCCAAAGCACUUAGUCGUAUGGGAAGAGUCUUCUGUACUGACUGGAGACAAACCAGUGAGGAAUAAGGUACACCUGACCCCACAGUUUUGGGUGAAGAGCAUCACGUACCUUUUGGUAGUAUCAACUUAAAUCAUUUUAAAGGAAGACAAAAAAGCCCUGGGGAAGCACGGUAAUUCUCCCCUACCAACCCUGCUUCUGCCCUUCCCCUACUUCCCUCAUUGACUUUUGGCAGGGAGGGUAGAGGUGCGAAGCCAAAGAAAAGAGGGAGGGAGGAGGAAGUUUUCUGCUAGGAUGGUUUAGCUCGAGCAAGAGGAAGAUGACAGAAAGAAGAAUGUGUGCGGUAUCCCUGGAAUAUUCGGCGUAUUUCUGAAGCACUGCCCAGGAAAAUCAGACUCUAAAUGAAAGUGGUGCAGGAACCAGAACAAGCCGAUGAAAUGGUACAGCCACUCUGGAGGACAGUUUGGUGGUUUCUUACAAAACCAGACAUAGUCUUACCAUAGGGUCCAGCAAUCGAGCAUCUUGGUAUUUACCCGAAUGACUGAAAACGUACGUGCGCACACACGCACCGAAACCUGCAUACAAAUGCUUAGAGCAGCUUUAUUCAUAGUUACCCAAACUCGGAAGUAACCAAGACAUCCUUCAGCAGGUGAACGGAUAAGCUGUGGGACGUUCAGACAAUGGAAUAUUAUGCAGCAA